rnacentral:rRNA from 1 species
UACGGGGGGGGCAAGCGUUGUUCGGAAUUACUGGGCGUAAAGGGCUCGUAGGCGGCCAACUAAGUCAGAUGUGAAAUCCCCAGGCUCAACCUGGGAACUGCAUCUGAUACUGGAUGGCUUGAAUCCGGGAGAGGGAUGCAGAAUUCCAGGUGUAGCGGUGAAAUGCGUAGAUAUCUGGAGGAAUACCGGUGGCGAAGGCGGCAUCCUGGACCGGCAUUGACGCUGAGGCGCGAAAGCCAGGGGAGCAAACGGG